rnacentral:misc_RNA from 1 species
AAGGAUCAUUCGUGUUUUAAUUUAAACAACACUCUUGUGCACUGUUUUUUGAAUGAUGGGGGCUUUUUUUGGGUGUAGGGUGUUGGGUGUUUGGGUGUGCGUUUGGGUGUUAUUACAACAGUCAAACACACACUCGCAAUACACCCACCAUUUUUCAGUCAAAAAAGCCCACGUAUCAUGACCCUUGACCUAUUUGACUGAAGAAAGUAAAUAACAAGAAAGCCAGUUGGCUUUUUUAAAACAACUUUCAGCAACGGAUCUCUUGGUUCUC